UUGACCUCGGAUCAGGUAGGGAUACCCGCUGAACUUAAGCAUAUCAAUAAGCGGAGGAAAAGAAACCAACAGGGAUUGCCCUAGUAACGGCGAGUGAAGCGGCAACAGCUCAAAUUUGAAAUCUGGCGUCUUUGGCGUCCGAGUUGUAAUUUGCAGAGGGCGCUUUGGCAUCGGCAGCGGUCCAAGUUCCUUGGAACAGGACGUCACAGAGGGUGAGAAUCCCGUACGUGAUCGCUAGCCUUUACCGUGUAAAGCCCCUUCGACGAGUCGAGUUGUUUGGGAAUGCAGCUCUAAAUGGGAGGUAAAUUUUCUUCUAAAGCUAAAUACUGGCCAGAGACCGAUAGCGCACAAGUAGAGUGAUCGAAAGAUGAAAAGCACUUUGGAAAGAGAGUUAAAAAGCACGUGAAAUUGUUGAAAGGGAAGCGCUUGCAGCCAGACUUGCCUGUAGUUGCUCAUCCGGGUUUCUACCCGGUGCACUCUUCUAUAGGCAGGCCAGCAUCAGUUUGGGCGGUUGGAUAAAGGUCUCUGUCAUGUACCUCUCUUCGGGGAGAACUUAUAGGGGAGACGACAUGCAACCAGCCCGGACUGAGGUCCGCG
rnacentral:rRNA from 1 species